GCCCGCAUGGCACAAUGGUACUGCGUCGCACUAGUAAUGCGGAGAUCCCUGGUUCGAUUCCAGGUGUGGGCA